GUUAUCAUCAUGGCAUGCAUAGUAUUGCACAAGUAUAGUAUGCAUUCUGUAUGAUGAGCAUGAUGAUAAUCGUGAUGUUGAACUUUAUGGAGGUCAACAAGCCUUAAGUGCAAGAACAAAGCAAGAAUCCCUUAUUCACAGAUCCUUCUCCUAGAGCUCUAAUAUUUGAUGCACAGAGGGACUCUCAUUUCCACAAGUGUUGCAGCAGGGACCAGAUGAUGGAAGUCAUAUGAUUCUUUGCGACACUCUCCCUAUCAGGGCUUACAAUGAAGAGGGUACCAACUGGGAAAAAGAUGUGCUUCUAAAAAGUGGUUUAAAUUUGUAUGAAGCCAGAUAAUUCAAGCAAUUUUCUCUUUUUAUAAUAUUUUUUUACAGUAAAAGAGCUUCUUUCAAU